AUUGAACGCUGGCGGCAUGCCUUACACAUGCAAGUCGAACGGUGACAGGUUAAGCUGACGAGUGGCGAACGGGUGAGUAAUGUAUCGGAACGUGCCCAGUCGUGGGGGAUAACUACUCGAAAGAGUGGCUAAUACCGCAUACGACCUGAGGGUGAAAGCGGGGGACCGUAAGGCCUCGCGCGAUUGGAGCGGCCGAUAUCAGAUUAGCUAGUUGGUGGGGUAAAAGCCCACCAAGGCGACGAUCUGUAGCUGGUCUGAGAGGACGACCAGCCAAACUGGGACUGAGACACGGCCCAGACUCCUACGGGAGGCAGCAGUGGGGAAUUUUGGACAAUGGACGCAAGUCUGAUCCAGCCAUGCCGCGUGCGGGAAGAAGGCCUUCGGGUUGUAAACCGCUUUUGUCAGGGAAGAAACGAGUUUCUCUAAUACAGAGACUUAAUGACGGUACCUGAAGAAUAAGCACCGGCUAACUACGUGCCAGCAGCCGCCGUAAAAC
rnacentral:rRNA from 1 species